UGGCCGGUACAAAGAGAAGCGAGGCUGUGAAGCGGAGCAAAUCUCAAAAACCGGUCCCAGUUCGGAUUGUAGGCUGCAACUCGCCUACAUGAAGUCGGAGUUGCUAGUAAUCGCGGAUCAGAAUGCCGCGGUGAAUGCGUUCCCGGGUCUUGUACACACCGCCCGUCACACCAUGGAAGUUGGGGGCGCCCGAAGUUGCCUAAGAAAUAAGGUACCUAAGGCGAAACCAAUGAUUGGGGUGAAGUCGUAACAAGGUAAC
rnacentral:rRNA from 1 species